rnacentral:tRNA from 1 species
GCUCGGUUCGUCUAACGGUUAGGACGGGAGAUUCUCAUUCUCCAAAUAAGAGUUCGAUUCUCUUACUGAGUA